rnacentral:rRNA from 1 species
GCGAGAUCGUUCUUUUAAGAGUAUUUUGUAGGAAGGGUGAAAAAAUAAGUAUUUCCGGAGACGGUAAUGGGUGUUUUAUAAAGAUGAGUUUGGUUUUUGUACUUUUUGCAUCAUGGAGCGUAGAGAGUUGUGUUAAAUUGUAGUUCCUGAAAACUUUUGAGCUAUCUAAUUUGUGUCUGUUGAGGUUUUUGGUUUGUCUUUAGUGUUGCAUUAUUAUAGGUAAGAAUUUGAUAGUAGUGAUAUGCUUGUCGCAAAAGUUGUUAGCUGGUUAAUCCGGAAAUGUGCGUGCGUGCAGCGAAGAUUAGACUAGAUAAAGACUGUUGUAGGGAUUUAUCUAAGUUUUCUUUGGUGAGUCUGUAGGGGUAAGCUCUAUAGAAAAAUGUAGGAGUGCUUUUUCUUUUUAUUAGGUAAGGUUAGUAUUACUUAUCCUAUGUUGAAUUUUUGUUCAAAGCGGUUUGUGAGUAAAUUGGGUAUUAGUACGGUUUAGGCUUGUUUAGCUUUUAUUAGUUAUAUUAGUAUGCUAUAUGUAGGUGGAUGAUAGAAUUUAGGGGUCAUAAUUUGGUUGUAGGUCUUUGUGGUUUUAGUUGUUAGUAAUUUUUAGUUUGUGGAAAUAUUUAAAAGUGAGCUCAAGGAACUCGGCAAAUAUUUUUCCCGCCUGUUUAUUAAAAACAUCGCUCUUAGAAUAAUAUUGUAGUAGGAGUCGGGCCUGCCCGGUGAGUUGAGGCUUAAACGGUUGCUAUGCAGAGUGGUACUGAGGUAGCGCAAUAGGUUGUCCUUUAAUUGGGGAAGGGGAUGAAUGGUUUGACGUGGAAAAAACUGUCUCGGGCUUAAUUGCUGAGUUUUACAUUUAAGUGCGAAGGCUUAAAUAAUGUUAGUAGACGAGAAGACCCCGUCGAGCUUAGUGGCGGUGACUAUUAGUAGUUUUUCGUAUAUUUUGUUGGGGCGACAAGGGGUAGUUUUAACACACCUGUGAUUUGUGGUGCGGACCCUCCAUUGGGGAGAGAGAGAAAAAGCUACCGCGGGGAUAACAGCGUUAUCUUUUUGGAGAGAUCAUAUUGAAGAAAGGUGUUGCGACCUCGAUGUUGAAUUAGGGUAUUAUCUCGGCGUAGCAGCUGGGAUUAUAGGUCUGUUCGCCCUUUAAAACCCUACAUGAUUUGAGUUUAGACCGGCGUGAGCUAGGUCGGUUUCUAUCUUUAUUUAAGGCUACCUUUGUACGAAAGGAUCGGGUAGCUUGGGUUUUCCUUUAAUAAAAUUUAAAUUUUAAU